ensembl:lncRNA TMEM167B transmembrane protein 167B
GCUCGCCUCUCGGCCCUUGUUCCUGCGUGCUCGGCUUCUUCCAGUCGCCUGGGCCCGGAUCGGGAAGUGUCAAGCGGCUGCCGAGUUCCCUCACCUCCGCGGCUAUCACCACUGAACCCGGACCCCCUACCCAGGUCCAGGGCCAGCCGCCAUGACGAACGUGUACUCCUUGGAUGGGAUUCUGGUGUUUGGUUUGCUCUUUGUUUGCACCUGUGCCUACUUCAAGAAAGUACCUCGUCUCAAAACCUGGCUGCUAUCAGAGAAGAAGGGUGUUUGGGGUGUGUUUUACAAAGCCGCUGUGAUUGGAACCAGGCUGCAUGCUGCUGUGGCAAUUGCUUGUGUUGUAAUGGCCUUUUACGUCCUGUUUAUAAAAUGAAUUCCAAAGUAUCCAAGUCAUCAACUGCCAACCAAGGGGACGGGGAUGAAGAACCUGUUGGAGACCUGGACUCAGUGUAGGAGAGUUCAGCUGAAAUCAUCAGUCCCCAGAAUGACACCACAGCGUCAGCCCCUGCUAUAUGUGGGGAAAACUCAUGGUCACGAACAUUAUGUAUGCUUCAGGGGACUACAGAAAGCCAGCUUCCUUUGAUCUGUGUGUAAAUCGGUCCUUGGCAGAGUGCAUAUGAUGUCCAGAUAAAUUACACCCCUCGAUGAUAAGAUUACAUACCUCCUUCAUAAAAACCUGUCAUCUUGUUUUGUUCUUCAGCUCCUCAUCAGGAUCUUUUCAAACUGAGGCUCAUUAGGGAAGGAACUAUGCUGUGUUCAGACCUCUUUUGAAGAGAGAAUUUUCAAGACUUCUUUUCACUCUUUGAUUUGGAUCUGGCAAAUUGGGGAGGGGAUGCUGGGUGGGAAACAGUUAUGAAAUGCCAAGAUAUUCUUUGGCUUUAGGAAUUUAUCUUUCAUGUACCCAUCUGGGAACAUAAAAGAGAGGCAUAGUGCUCACUGCAAAAAGAGAACAGAUGAAGUAGCUGUGUUAUGUGCUGGUAUCUUGAGUUUUGCCAAGAAAAUCUGGGCCUACAUAAAAUUUGAGAAUUAUCUGUGUGAUGAGACCAGAAAGCAGUGGCUUACACAAGAAAAAAUUUUUCUGUUCACCAGUAUCCUCAAAUGGAGACUUCACUUGAUCAGAUGGUAUAUGAAAAAUGAAUCAACUGUUGCUAUUUCAUAAAACCUUUUUAUAUUUUCUAAAUUACUUAGUGCUAAAUACUGUUACUCAGUUUUAAAUGCCACAACUAAGGAAAAAGAAACUAUUGAAAAAUUGUUUAAUAUAUUUACAGUUGGGGUAGAAGGAAGAAAUCUAGUAUAUUGAUUCAUAUACUAGUAAAUUUGUCUAGUAUAAGAAUUUGUGAUGUCAGAUUGAAGUUUUGUCAUCUUAUAAAAGACAACAAACUUAUUUUGUGUUUAAGUCUGAGUUGUUACGGCAAUUUUUAGUUGAUUACUUUAUUUCUUAGCCAACUCUUAAUUUUCUUCAUAUUGCAUUACUCUUUAGUUGUCUCUGGAAAUUCUACUUACUUUAAGGACAUGAGAAAUUCAAAUGAGAGAAGUUGCUGAUAUUCAUCAGUGUGUUUGAACCGUGCAUAGGAUCCACAAAUCAAAUGAGGGUGUUUCCUGAAGUAGAAGAAAACAGAACUUUGCAACUGAUACUGAAGUAUUUUGCCAUGGAGUUAGUAACUCCUGAGCAGACCAUUUUAGAUGGCUCAGCAUUUGACAGGAAGACUUCUCCAUUCCCUCCUUAUAUCUACAGAAGGAUCUGUUGGAUGUCUAGAACUUCUCUAUUUAAAAAAAAAAGAGUAGGUCUAAAAUUAAAUUAUUAUAAGCAAGCAUAGGCAUGGGUCUUCCAGUUGAAUUGUCCAUUAUUGUAAAACUUAAUGGUGGACAAGUUAGCUGUGGUUGAUUCCUGUGUGGCAGUAAAUUGUCUUCUGUCUGCUUACUCCAAAUAAUAAAAGCUGCUAGGAAGUUUAGAUUUGGAAAUAGGCAGUUUAAUGCUUUGAGGGUUUCUAGAAAUACAGAAAGUCAUCAAGUAAACACUACAUGUCUAAUCAUCUCAGAGUUGUGGCUGUUAUCUCUUCAGGAAUUGGUCCACAGGGUAAAUUUCAACAAUUCAUAUGUUUUCCAUUGUCAUUUCUGAAGACCUUUGAGAUGAGAGAAAGGAAAUCUAGUGGAACAGGAAAGAGAGUUACACCUUGUGGGUGUGAGUUUGGGACCUGUUGGCCAAAGGGAAUGUCACUCCCUGGAAACAGGUUCAGCAUGUUUGCACUUGUUAUUUUGUAGCUUUAAUGAUUUUUGUUUUCUAAUGUCUCUAAGCUUGGUGUUUAGAGCUGCUUCAUAUUUUAAACUAGUUCCAUUCCACAGUACUAGUUCAAACCAGUUCUUACAGCCUCCUGGGUGGGUCAUCUUGACCUAAACUCUUGUGUUGUCACAUUUUGAGAUGUUUUCAUAGCAGAAUGUACCAAAAAGUGCACAAGGUAAAGGUAAUUUACAGCAAGAAACAAAUACACAUUUGUUUUAUUUCUUGACUUUCCCUAAGCAGAUAAGCAGAAACUUGUUUAACUCAUUACUUUGUUUGAUGUGUCUUGCAUAUUUUUGACUAAAAGUUAUAGGAAGUUAUUCCUCUGGGGGAAUCUUUUACAGGUGGAGGAAUGGGGAUAGCAGUAUAGCCUCAGAUUCAAACUGGCAUCACCCUAAACCCUGUAGGCCAGGGUGGAAUGAAGUCAGCUCCUUUUUAUAGUUGAAAUACAAAUUUUUAUUCACCAUUGUCUGCACAAAUCCUUGAAAAUAAACGUUUUUUCCCUACAA